rnacentral:tRNA from 1 species
GCCUUCGUGUUGUAGUGGUCAGCACACUCGACGUGUAACCGAGAGGUCCGUGGUUCGAUUCCCGGUGAAGGCG